UACGUAGGGUGCAGGCGUUAAUCGGAAUUACUGGGCGUAAAGCGUGCGCAGGCGGUCUCUUAAGACAGGUGUGAAAUCCCCGGGCUUAACCUGGGAACUGCGCUUGUAACUGAGAGGCUUGAGUGUGCCAGAGGGGGGUGGAAUUCCACGUGUAGCAGUGAAACGCGUAGAGAUGUGGAGGAACACCGAUGGCGAAGGCGGCUCACUGGACCGGUACUGACGCUGAUGCGCGAAAGCGUGGGGAGCAAACGGG
rnacentral:rRNA from 1 species